rnacentral:rRNA from 1 species
UGGGGAAUCUUCCGCAAUGGACGAAAGUCUGACGGAGCAACGCCGCGUGAGUGAAGACGGCCUUCGGGUUGUAAAGCUCUGUGAUUCGGGACGAAAGGCCAUAUGUGAAUAAUAUAUGGAAAUGACGGUACCGAAAAAGCAAGCCACGGCUAACUACGUGCCAGCAGCCGCGGUAAUACGUAGGUGGCAAGCGUUGUCCGGAAUUAUUGGGCGUAAAGCGCGCGCAGGCGGUCACUUAAGUCCAUCUUAGAAGUGCGGGGCUUAACCCCGUGAUGGGAUGGAAACUGGGGGACUGGAGUACCGGAGAGGAAAGUGGAAUUCCUAGUGUAGCGGUGAAAUGCGUAGAUAUUAGGAAGAACACCGGUGGCGAAGGCGACUUUCUGGACGAAAACUGACGCUGAGGCGCGAAAGCGUGGGGAGCAAACAGG